GCAUCUGUGGUGGAAUUGGUAGACACGCUAUCUUCAGGCGGUAGUGGAUUUAAUCCGUGUGAGUUCGAGUCUCAUCAGAUGCACCA
rnacentral:tRNA from 6 species